rnacentral:rRNA from 1 species
CAGUAGCCACGGUAAUACGAAGGGUGCAAGCGUUACUCGGAAUUACUGGGCGUAAAGCGUGCGUAGGUGGUGGUUUAAGUCCGUUGUGAAAGCCCUGGGCUCAACCUGGGAAUUGCAGUGGAUACUGGGUCACUAGAGUGUGGUAGAGGAUAGUGGAAUUUCCGGUGUAGCAGUGAAAUGCGUAGAGAUCGGAAGGAACAUCUGUGGCGAAGGCGACUAUCUGGGCCAACACUGACACUGAGGCACGAAAGCGUGGGGAGCAAACAGGAUUAGAUACCCGAGUAGUCCCUGUCUCUUAUAA